UCAAACUACAGAAUUUCUAAGAUAUAAAGGGAGCCUAAAAAACACAUGGGGAUGGUCAUUUUACAUGACAUUGCAUAAAAUAUAAUAAUGAAGGUCCUUUUAA